rnacentral:rRNA from 46 species
GCGACCCCAGGUCAGGCGGGACUACCCGCUGAGUUUAAGCAUAUCAAUA